GGCUCAGAUUGAACGCUGGCGGCAUGCUUUACACAUGCAAGUCGAACGGCAGCACGAAAGAGCUUGCUCUUUUGGUGGCGAGUGGCGAACGGGUGAGUAAUACAUUGGAACGUACCGAGUAAUGGGGGAUAACUGUCCGAAAGGAUGGCUAAUACCGCAUACGCUCUGAGGAGGAAAGCGGGGGACCUUCGGGCCUCGCGUUAUUCGAGCGGCCAAUGUCUGAUUAGCUAGUUGGUGGGGUAAAGGCCUACCAAGGCGACGAUCAGUAGUGGGUCUGAGAGGAUGAUCCGCCACACUGGGACUGAGACACGGCCCAGACUCCUACGGGAGGCAGCAGUGGGGAAUUUUGGACAAUGGGCGAAAGCCUGAUCCAGCCAUGCCGCGUGUCUGAAGAAGGCCUUCGGGUUGUAAAGGACUUUUGUCAGGGAAGAAAGGGUUUGGGUUAAUACCC
rnacentral:rRNA from 1 species